AUGUGGUCUGGAAUUUAUCACUUCCAUACCAUAACCAGAGCCAUAUAAUAUUUUUUGACCAAUUUUUUUAGUUCAGUCAAACUUGUGGUGGAUUUAGAAGCUGUGACAACAUACAUGUGUUCUACAAAAGAGAAAAAUAGUUUUAAAAUGAGGUUAA